rnacentral:rRNA from 1 species
GUAGGGAAUCUUCCACAAUGGACGAAAGUCUGAUGGAGCAACGCCGCGUGUGUGAUGAAGGGUUUCGGCUCGUAAAACACUGUUGUAAGAGAAGAAUGACAUUGAGAGUAACUGUUCAGUGUGUGACGGUAUCUUACCAGAAAGGAACGGCUAAAUACGUGCCAGCAGCCGCGGUAAUACGUAUGUUCCAAGCGUUAUCCGGAUUUAUUGGGCGUAAAGCGAGCGCAGACGGUUAUUUAAGUCCGAAGUGAAAGCCCACAGCUUAACUGUGGAAGUGCUUUGGAAACUGGAUAACUUGAGUGCAGUAGAGGAGAGUGGAACUCCAUGUGUAGCGGUGAAAUGCGUAGAUAUAUGGAAGAACACCAGUGGCGAAGGCGGCUCUCUGGACUGUAACUGACGUUGAGGCUCGAAAGUGUGGGUAGCAAACAGGAUUAGAUACCCGGGUAGUCC